rnacentral:tRNA from 1 species
GUCUUCGUGGUGUAAUGGUCAGCACACUCGGCAUGUAUUCGAAAAGUCCCAGGUUCGAGUCCCAGCGAGAACA